GGUGAAGCUGGAAUGUGAAUCACACACUGUGGGCAAGAGUGAACAAUUUGCUGAGCUUCCUGUCAUAUAAUAUGAUUUUUGUGUGUGGAUUGGAAGCAUUCUGAUGAUGUGAGGAAUGAGAAGCUUGAGCACAGUCAUAUGGAGACAUUUGUACAUGGGCCACUAUAAGUUUAUCAGCCUUAGCAUUAUCUGAUGUUAAAGACCUGGAAGUUUAGAAUGAGCUCUAGUAUGACCAAUAAAACAAAGAUAUUGAUGCACUUGAACUGUUUAUUGUAAAGUAUGGAAUAAAUGGAAACAGAAGACACAGGGAAGAAUUGAUGUUGCAGAUCAAAUUUGAAGGUCGUCUUCUGGCAGAAUUCUUUCCUGUGAGAUGUCAGUCUAUUCUCUUAAGUUUUCGAACUGAUUGGAUGAGACCCUCCCACAGUGGAAGGUAAUCUGUUUUAAUCAAAGUCCACUGACUGGAUAUACGAAUUCCCACCCCACGCCCAAAACAAAAACUUUCACAGUAACAUUUAACUGGUGUUUGGCCCAAACUGCUGGGUAUUUGUGCCUAGCCAAAUCAGUAC
rnacentral:lncRNA from 1 species